rnacentral:rRNA from 1 species
UACGAAGGGGGCUAGCGUUGCUCGGAAUUACUGGGCGUAAAGGGCGCGUAGGCGGUUCUAUAAGUCAGGCGUGAAAUUCCUGGGCUUAACCUGGGGGCUGCGCUUGAGACUGUGGGACUUGAGGUCAGAAGAGGGUCGUGGAAUUCCCAGUGUAGAGGUGAAAUUCGUAGAUAUUGGGAAGAACACCGGUGGCGAAGGCGGAUCUCUGGGCCAUUACUGACGCUGAGGAGCGAAAGCGUGGGGAGCGAACAGG